rnacentral:lncRNA from 1 species
UCAAACAGAGCAGCACUGGCUGUGGGGAGCGAGGCUCAUUCUGUUCUGAACUGGAAUGUGGGGAAGGUCCACCAGCCCUUGCUUUCUCCCAGCUGCCAGUUCCUCUCCUGCCCCUGAGUGACAUCACUAUGGGAGCGUUAAAGACCUGGGCCCUUCAGAGGGGAAGCCAGGAAUGUGCAUCACAAACACAGCCAAUCCCAGGCUGCUCUGUCUGGGGACCGUCAGAGGACACUGCCCUCUUGCCUGGUACAGAAGGAGACAGUGAUUAUUUGGCUGUGGGUAUGGCACGGACUCUGGCACGUGACGGAGUCUCUCUCUGUUGCCCAGGCUGGAGUGCAGUGGUGCGAUCUUGGCUCACGGCAGCCUCUGCCCCAGGUUCAAGCAAUUCUGCUGCCUCAGCUUCCUCAGUAGCUGGGACUACAGAAGGAGUCUCUGAAGUUAGCACCAUUCUAAGAAUCCAAACUCUACAAGCAGAGGCUACCAAGCGCAGAGGCGUGGCGCCCAAGGUCACACAGGUAACACACACGUGGAGCUCGGGGUUAAAGCCAGGCAGCCUGAGACCUGAGGUCACCUCAUGUCACCAUAGGAGGCUCUGCCAAUUGCCCUGGGGGACACACACACCUGUGGCUGCUUCCAACAGCUGUGUCCAUCCUCAGAGGAGGAAGGCGAUUCACAUUUGAGGCUCUUCAGAAUAAUGUGCCCGGCUCUAAGGCAGCUUCCAAAGAGGACAUUCAGCCUGCUAUGGCUGUGAAGAUUUUCAACCUGAUGUCAUCCACUGUGAGGCAGAGGUUCUGGCAUUUUGUGGACAAAGCAGCCGGGAUUCUGUCACCUCGCUCUGCAUACACCAGCAUUUAAUGCAAGGUGUGAGUGAGGGCAUGUGUGGGUAUACUCAUGCCUGUGUGUUUGGGGGUGCAGGGGCUAGCGAGGUCCUGACAAAAGAGCUUUCUUCUGCAGAUCAUAGAGUGAAACGAUUCCUGUGCCCAAAAGGGGUUUUAAAAAACAGCUCGAGAAGCUGAAAGCAAGACACAACAGACAGUUCCACUCAAUUUGCUGCCUUCAGCCUGGCUGCGUACUGGAAACAUUUGGUCCUGCUGAAGCAUGCUUGUCUGGCUCCGGGGUCAGGGCUGGGUGUUUCAGAAAUGGAAAUGCGAGCUUCUGGCAGCAGUCGCUUUUCCUGUUGCACUGACUUGUCGCUUCAUUUGCUAUCUUGUUGUACACAGACAGCAAAGGGGCCGCAGGCCUCGGGUCAGCCUGAUGCGCUGUGUGUGUGUGUGUGAGUGUUUGUGUCUGUGAGUGUGUGUGUGUGAGCUGAGUCAACUGAGGGACUUGUUCUCAGCACCCCAUUCCCUUGCUUUCAAGUGGAUCCUGCCUUCACUUUGUGGCCCAAGCCAGAUUUGGCAACGGGGAACAAGCCACCUAGAAGCUCAGGCAAGUCCUUCCUGCUGAGAAAAGGCUUGGACCCCUCCAGGACCUGUGAUCAAACCACCAGUGUUACAUUGGCUAACGUGAUGGAUGUACAAGCGGUGCAAUUGCACAAGGGCCCUAGAAGGGCCUCUGGCAUGGUUUAAUGCUUCGCUAUGGCCAUCUUGAAAUUCACCUUUUUUUUUUUAAUUUUUAAGUUUUAUUUUAAGUUCAGGGGUACAUGUGCAGGUUUGUUAUAUGAGUAAACUUGUUUCAUGGGGGUUUGUUGUAUAGAUUAUUUCAUUACCCAGGUAUUAAGCCUAGUACUGAUUAGUUACUUUUCUUGAUCCUGUCCCUCCUCACACCCUCCACCCUCUCAUAGGCCCUAGCGUGUGUUGUUCCCCUUCACGUCUCCAUGUGCUCUCAUCAUUUAGCUCCCACUUUAAGUGAGAACACCUGGUAUUUGGUUUUCUGUUCCUGCCGUGAGUUUGCUAAGGAUGAUGGCCGCCAGCUCCAUCCAUGUUCCUGCAAAGGUCAUGAUGUCCUUCUUCUUUAUGGCUGCAUAAUAUUCCACGGUGUAUAGGUACCACAUUUAAAAAAUCCAGUCUACCAUUGAUGAGCAUUUAGGUUGAUUCCAUGUCUUUGCUAUUGUGAUUAACGGUGCAGUGAACAUAGGUGUGCAUGUGUCUUUAUAACAGAAUGAUCUAUAUUCCUUUGGGAAUAGGUCUAGUGAUGGCGUUGCUGGUUUGAAUGGUAGUUCUGUUUUCAGGUCUUUGAGGAAUUGCCACGCAGUCUUCCACAAUGGUUGAAC